UUCUGGUCCGAUGGUAGUUGGUUAUCAGAACUUAUUAACAUUAGUGUCACUAAAGUUGGUAUUCAACCCCCCACUGCUAAAUUUGACUGGCUUUUA
rnacentral:Y_RNA from 1 species